rnacentral:rRNA from 1 species
UACGAAGGGGGCUAGCGUUGUUCGGAUUUACUGGGCGUAAAGCGCACGUAGGCGGACUAUUAAGUCAGGGGUGAAAUCCCGGGGCUCAACCCCGGAACUGCCUUUGAUACUGGUAGUCUUGAGUUCGAGAGAGGUGAGUGGAAUUCCGAGUGUAGAGGUGAAAUUCGUAGAUAUUCGGAGGAACACCAGUGGCGAAGGCGGCUCACUGGGCCGUCCGAGUACUGACGCGUGAGGU